rnacentral:rRNA from 1 species
GACGAACGCUGGCGGCGUGCUUAACACAUGCAAGUCGAACGGAAAGGCCUGCUUUCCCUUGUGGAUUGCGGGUGCUCGAGUGGCGAACGGGUGAGUAACACGUGAGUGAUCUGCCCCCAACUUGGGUAUAAGCCUGGGAAACUGGGUCUAAUUCCCGAUAGGGCUGCAGGGUGGUGCCUGUGGUGGAAAACGAUUUUCUAGUGGUUGGGGAUGAGCUCGCGGCCUAUCAGCUUGUUGGUGGGGUAAUGGCCUACCAAGGCGGCGACGGGUAGCCGGCCUGAGAGGGUGGACGGCCACAUUGGGACUGAGAUACGGCCCAGACUCCUACGGGAGGCAGCAGUGGGGAAUAUUGCACAAUGGGCGGAAGCCUGAUGCAGCGACGCCGCGUGGGGGAUGACGGCCUUCGGGUUGUAAACUCCUUUCGACCGCGAGGAAGCCACCUGGUUGGAAGGGUGGUGACGGUAGUGGUAGAAGAAGCACCGGCUAACUACGUG